GUUUGCCCACAAUAACACCUACAAUUUAACACAUGUUAAAAAUAAUUCUACGCUCUUAUUAUAAAUGUGUUUUAAUUAUAACUUAAGAAACCUAGACUUAGACUAUGGCUAGCUUCAAUAUUAUUGGAAGAACAUUCCCCAAGGAGUUCACCUAAAACAGAAUCGCUUCUCUUCCUUUGCUCACACACCAUAAACACAAUACAAAAAUAAGGCUUACAGCCAUGCUACUGGUGAUCAUCCAGGCCCCUUGUGUGGAUACCCUAAAGGACUAUAUAAUGUUACCUGCACCAGCUACACAUUAAGUACAUGUUUAACAAUCCUUCACUAAAUAGUACAAUGAAUAUGUACAGUAUGUAAUAAAUACUUUGCUAGAA